UGGAAAUGUGUGUUUACUUUUCACUGGGUA
rnacentral:piRNA from 1 species